CCUACGGGUGGCUGCAGUGAGGAAUAUUGGGCAAUGGGGGCAACCCUGACCCAGCCAUGCCGCGUGAGUGAAGAAGGUCUUCGGAUUGUAAAGCUCUGUCGGUCGUGACGAUGAUGACGGUAGCGUCUAAAGAAGCACCGGCCAACUUCGUGCCAGCAGCCGCGGUCAUACGAAGGGUGCGAGCGUUGUUCGGAAUUACUGGGCGUAAAGGGAAUGUAGGCGGAUAUGUAAGAUAGCGGUGAAAGGCCGGGGCUCAACCCGGGAACUACCAUUAUGACUAUGUGUCUAGAGUGAUGGAGAGGAUAGCGGAAUACCAAGUGUAGAGGUGAAAUGCGUAGAUAUUGGGUAGAACACCGGUGGCGAAGGCGGCUAUCUGGCCAGUUACUGACGCUGAGGCUCGAAAGCAUGGGGAUCAAACAGGAUUAGAUACCCUAGUAGUC
rnacentral:rRNA from 1 species